rnacentral:rRNA from 1 species
UACGUAGGGAGCAAGCGUUGUCCGGAAUCAUUGGGCGUAAAGCGCGCGUAGGUGGCCUCGUAAGUCCGCUGUGAAAGUCAAAGGCUCAACCUUUGAAAGCCGGUGGAUACUGUGGGCUAGAGUACGGAAGAGGCGAGUGGAAUUCCUGGUGUAGCGGUGAAAUGCGGUGAGAUAUCAGGAGGAACACCAUGUGGUGAGAGACACCGCUU